rnacentral:rRNA from 1 species
AAAGUUUACAAGUUCGCUGGGAAAAGCGGAGGGAUCAUUAUCGAGAUUUAUUCAACUCCCAAACCCUAUGUGAACUUACCCCUUGGUGCUUCGGCGGCGCUUCGGCGCUGCCGGGGGUAUCAAACUCUUAUUGUUUUUACAGCAUUAUCUGAGUGGCCGAAAGGCAAAAAACCAAAUGAAUCAAAACUUUCAACAACGGAUCUCUUGGUUCUGGCCAUCCGAUGAAGAACGCAGCGAAAUGCGAUAAGUAAUGUGAAUUUGCAGAAUUCAGUGAAUCAUCGGAAUCUUUGAACGCACAUUUGGCGCCCGCCAGCAUUCUGGCGGGCAUGCCCUGUUCGAGCGUCAUUUCAACCCUCGAGCCCGACUCUUCGGAGGACGGCCCCGGUGUUGGGGACCGGCAGACUGCCCCGCCGCCUCCGGGCGUGGGACGCCGCCCCCGAAAAUUUAGUGGCGGCCCCUUCGAGGCGACCUCUGCGUAGUAACUUACCUCGCACUGGGAAAAUCGAAGCGGCCACGCCGUAAAACACCCAACUAUUUUAAGGUUGACCUCGAAUCAGGUAGGACUACCCGCUGAACUUAAGCAUAUCAAUAAGCGGAGGAAAAGAAACCAACAGGGAUUGCCCCAGUAACGGCGAGUGAAGCGGCAACAGCUCAAAUUUGAAAUCUGGUCCCUAGGGCCCGAGUUGUAAUUUGUAGAGGAUGCUUUUGGCAAGGUGCCUUUCCGAGUUCCCUGGAACGGGGACGCCAUAGAGGGUGAGAGCCCCGUCUGGUCGGAUACCGCGCCUCUGUUAAAGCUCCUUUCGACGAGUCGAGUAGUUUGGGAAUGCUGCUCAAAAUGGGAGGUAUAUGUCUUCUAAAGCUAAAUAUUGGCCAGAGACCGAUAGCGCACAAGUAGAGUGAUCGAAAAGAUGAAAAGCACUUUUGAAAAGAGGGUUAAAAAGUACGUGAAAUUGUUGAAAGGGAAAGCGCCUAUGAACCAGACUUUGGGCCCGGUGAAUCAUCCAUGCGUUCUCGCUGGGUGCACUUUGCCGGGCACAGUGCCAACAUCAGUUUGGCUUGGGGGAAAAAGGGCUUACGGGAAGCGUACGCUUCCAGGAAGUGUUAUAGACCUUUGCAUAAUAACCCUGGGCUGGAACUGACGGUUCGCGCAUUCGCAAGGAUGCGCGAUCCAGGUCCAUAACCGCUUGGAAACCGGGAAA